rnacentral:rRNA from 1 species
GGACUAUCAUGUCGGUCGUGCCUCGGUACGUACUGGUAUUGUUGGUUUCUCCCUUCUGACGAACCAUGAUGUCAUUAAUUUGGUGUUAUGGGAAAUCAGGACUGUUACUUUGAAAAAAUUAGAGUGUUUAAGGCAGGCUUACGCUUGAAUACAUUAGCAUGGAAUAAUGAAAUAGGACGUUUGAUCCUAUUUUGUUGGUUUCUAGGAUCGACGUA